rnacentral:rRNA from 1 species
AGCGUACACGGUGGAUGCCCUGGCAGUCAGAGGCGAUGAAGGACGUGCUAAUCUGCGAUAAGCGUCGGUAAGGUGAUAUGAACCGUUAUAACCGGCGAUUUCCGAAUGGGGAAACCCAGUGUGAUUCGUCACACUAUCAUUAACUGAAUCCAUAGGUUAAUGAGGCGAACCGGGGGAACUGAAACAUCUAAGUACCCCGAGGAAAAGAAAUCAACCGAGAUUCCCCCAGUAGCGGCGAGCGAACGGGGAGCAGCCCAGAGCCUGAAUCAGUGUGUGUGUUAGUGGAAGCGUCUGGAAAGGCGCGCGAUACAGGGUGACAGCCCCGUACACAAAAAUGCACAUGCUGUGAGCUCGAUGAGUAGGGCGGGACACGUGGUAUCCUGUCUGAAUAUGGGGGGACCAUCCUCCAAGGCUAAAUACUCCUGACUGACCGAUAGUGAACCAGUACCGUGAGGGAAAGGCGAAAAGAACCCCGGCGAGGGGAGUGAAAAAGAACCUGAAACCGUGUACGUACAAGCAGUGGGAGCACGCUUAGGCGUGUGACUGCGUACCUUUUGUAUAAUGGGUCAGCGACUUAUAUUCUGUAGCAAGGUUAACCGAAUAGGGGAGCCGAAGGGAAACCGAGUCUUAACUGGGCGUUAAGUUGCAGGGUAUAGACCCGAAACCCGGUGAUCUAGCCAUGGGCAGGUUGAAGGUUGGGUAACACUAACUGGAGGACCGAACCGACUAAUGUUGAAAAAUUAGCGGAUGACUUGUGGCUGGGGGUGAAAGGCCAAUCAAACCGGGAGAUAGCUGGUUCUCCCCGAAAGCUAUUUAGGUAGCGCCUCGUGAAUUCAUCUCCGGGGGUAGAGCACUGUUUCGGCAAGGGGGUCAUCCCGACUUACCAACCCGAUGCAAACUGCGAAUACCGGAGAAUGUUAUCACGGGAGACACACGGCGGGUGCUAACGUCCGUCGUGAAGAGGGAAACAACCCAGACCGCCAGCUAAGGUCCCAAAGUCAUGGUUAAGUGGGAAACGAUGUGGGAAGGCCCAGACAGCCAGGAUGUUGGCUUAGAAGCAGCCAUCAUUUAAAGAAAGCGUAAUAGCUCACUGGUCGAGUCGGCCUGCGCGGAAGAUGUAACGGGGCUAAACCAUGCACCGAAGCUGCGGCAGCGACACUGUGUGUUGUUGGGUAGGGGAGCGUUCUGUAAGCCUGCGAAGGUGUGCUGUGAGGCAUGCUGGAGGUAUCAGAAGUGCGAAUGCUGACAUAAGUAACGAUAAAGCGGGUGAAAAGCCCGCUCGCCGGAAGACCAAGGGUUCCUGUCCAACGUUAAUCGGGGCAGGGUGAGUCGACCCCUAAGGCGAGGCCGAAAGGCGUAGUCGAUGGGAAACAGGUUAAUAUUCCUGUACUUGGUGUUACUGCGAAGGGGGGACGGAGAAGGCUAUGUUGGCCGGGCGACGGUUGUCCCGGUUUAAGCGUGUAGGCUGGUUUUCCAGGCAAAUCCGGAAAAUCAAGGCUGAGGCGUGAUGACGAGGCACUACGGUGCUGAAGCAACAAAUGCCCUGCUUCCAGGAAAAGCCUCUAAGCAUCAGGUAACAUCAAAUCGUACCCCAAACCGACACAGGUGGUCAGGUAGAGAAUACCAAGGCGCUUGAGAGAACUCGGGUGAAGGAACUAGGCAAAAUGGUGCCGUAACUUCGGGAGAAGGCACGCUGAUACGUAGGUGAAGUCCCUCGCGGAUGGAGCUGAAAUCAGUCGAAGAUACCAGCUGGCUGCAACUGUUUAUUAAAAACACAGCACUGUGCAAACACGAAAGUGGACGUAUACGGUGUGACGCCUGCCCGGUGCCGGAAGGUUAAUUGAUGGGGUCAGCGCAAGCGAAGCUCUUGAUCGAAGCCCCGGUAAACGGCGGCCGUAACUAUAACGGUCCUAAGGUAGCGAAAUUCCUUGUCGGGUAAGUUCCGACCUGCACGAAUGGCGUAAUGAUGGCCAGGCUGUCUCCACCCGAGACUCAGUGAAAUUGAACUCGCUGUGAAGAUGCAGUGUACCCGCGGCAAGACGGAAAGACCCCGUGAACCUUUACUAUAGCUUGACACUGAACAUUGAGCCUUGAUGUGUAGGAUAGGUGGGAGGCUUUGAAGUGUGGACGCCAGUCUGCAUGGAGCCGACCUUGAAAUACCACCCUUUAAUGUUUGAUGUUCUAACGUUGACCCGUAAUCCGGGUUGCGGACAGUGUCUGGUGGGUAGUUUGACUGGGGCGGUCUCCUCCUAAAGAGUAACGGAGGAGCACGAAGGUUGGCUAAUCCUGGUCGGACAUCAGGAGGUUAGUGCAAUGGCAUAAGCCAGCUUGACUGCGAGCGUGACGGCGCGAGCAGGUGCGAAAGCAGGUCAUAGUGAUCCGGUGGUUCUGAAUGGAAGGGCCAUCGCUCAACGGAUAAAAGGUACUCCGGGGAUAACAGGCUGAUACCGCCCAAGAGUUCAUAUCGACGGCGGUGUUUGGCACCUCGAUGUCGGCUCAUCACAUCCUGGGGCUGAAGUAGGUCCCAAGGGUAUGGCUGUUCGCCAUUUAAAGUGGUACGCGAGCUGGGUUUAGAACGUCGUGAGACAGUUCGGUCCCUAUCUGCCGUGGGCGCUGGAGAACUGAGGGGGGCUGCUCCUAGUACGAGAGGACCGGAGUGGACGCAUCACUGGUGUUCGGGUUGUCAUGCCAAUGGCACUGCCCGGUAGCUAAAUGCGGAAGAGAUAAGUGCUGAAAGCAUCUAAGCACGAAACUUGCCCCGAGAUGAGUUCUCCCUGACUCCUUGA